ACUUUCUUCAGCCUUUUUUGCUUCUUUUCGUAGUUUCUCAGCUUCUUGCUGCUCUUUGAAUAAUCUAAUCAAUUCUUCUGUUGCUGUAGGUACAUCUCUGAUAUGUGCACCAAGCUUUUCCUGAAAAAUAAAGACGAAUAUAAAUGUAUACGAAUAUAAAUAUGAUAUUUAACAGUCAUUUAAAAAGGAAUUUUAUAUUUACAUUAGGGAAUUCUGCCUGAUUCAUUUCGGGUUUUGUAAAAGUAAACGGUGUCCAAGGUCCUUGAAUAGAGGGGAAAUCUGUACGCCACAAUUUUAAUAAUCGCAUAGCAGAUCCAUCAUGAAAUUGUGUCUUCAAUAGGUGCAUCCAUUGUACAAUAUCUUCACGACUGUAAUUGGAAACACACAUCCAAUGUGUGUCUCCAUUUACUAUAACAUGUAUUCAAUAUUUAUAUAUAAACAUUUAUCUUACUUCAUUCAAAAAACUGUUAAACUUACAAUAUUCUGCUUUUAUAACUGGAACUCUGUGUCUCCUUGGUUUAACGUACACUACAACUCCAGGAUUGUCUCUCGCAAAAUCGAUUAAAUCAUUUUCCAAAAACUUCCUACAUAAAAUCGAAAUGUUCAUUAAUGAUGCACAUAUAAUUUAUAAAAUGAUUUUACACGUGACGAAGUAACCUUUACUGAAUGUAUACAAUUACAGGAUACAGAUGAUAUUAUAGGUUAUUUGUGAAACAGAGUAACAAAAAAAUCAAAUAAUAUAUAAUACAAGUAUAAAAAUGAUAAACAAUAAAUAAUUAGAUACCUUGCAACGGUAUUAUCAGUGCAUUCGUAUACUAAAAUUAGGUUUACUAUAAAAAGGUUAGGAGCGUAAAAAUAUUUUACCUAACUCCGUCACUACCACCGUUGCUUUUACAAAACUUUAAUGUAACCCUUUGAAGCUGGCAUACAUAGCGUCCAAUACCUAGGCCAAAAGGUGGCUUUAAAUAUCCAUAUUUAAGGAAUAAAUUGUGAUUUGACAUUUUCCUAGUAAAAAACGUAAAUAAAAUUUCUUUAAAUUAUCUACUCCGUUUCGUGUUCACUGUUUACUAGACAGGCGCAUGUCUAGUAAAGCAUUCUCUAUUUUUUUCAAUAUGAUAACGAUAAUAAGUUUAUUUCACAUUUUGGAAUUACAUUAAUUUCUUAAAAUACAAUCUUAUGUCGAAAAAUCUGUUCAAAUCAUAUUUAACUGUUAUCAAACCAGCGUGGCUCAAUUACGUUACAUUUAACUGGAGGCAAAGGAAUCGGUACUAUGGAAGGUAAAGAUGUCGGUAAAAAUUCUCCUGGCCAAAAAUGUACGGCAUCCAUAAAUAAGCAUCCUAUUAGAAUACCGUGCAUUACAGGCGCUAAAAUCCUCAUAAGUCUGCUUUUAGGUGGUUUUUGGGGCCAAACGAAAAUCAAUCGUGAUCCAUCUAUUGCGUACCGCGAAAAUAAAUUAACAUUAUUACACAUGUAUGACGCGUAUAAUAUAAAGUUAUCUACAGGAUGUCGCAAAAAAAUGUUAUCACACUUUAUCAGCUGGUAAAACGCUAAAUUUUAUUUUUAUAUUUUUUCAUUUUUAAUCAAAGUAUCGUAACAUUUUUUUCGACACCCUAUAUUUAUUAUGCAUGGAGUUAAAACGAUGGACUUGUAUUGCGACGUAUGAUCGACGAUUUAACGUGGUGAGGGCUGACGCCGGGAGGAGCGCUAAAUAUUGCAUUUUCAGUGGAAGUUUUCCUCUUCUUAUAAUUAAAUUUACGCCCACCGUCUUGUCUGUAUAGUAGGCGAUCUUCGAAAUUACGUUCGUAGUUGGACCUAGCCAAGCUCGUAAUCGUACUUCCUGUACUGUCUUGGAGGGAAACGCUGGUUCCGGUUAUUAAGGAACAUUUAUCAUCGUCUAUGUCACGACUUGUCAGGUCCUCUGUCCUUCUGAAAACUAGUUCACUGUUUUGCCGCCAAUUUCAUUUCGGUUGAAAGAAGUCUUCAAGAAGUUUUCAAAUUGGAUUCACUUUGAAGAACGAUAGAUUUCACGUCACCUGGUACAAGGAAACUGCAUUUUUUAAACAAAAUGGCUCAAUGUAAAUGUCCCGAAUCGGAAGUAAAACCGGUAGAAUGCCCUCCAUACUUCGAAAGUAUUACCUCGAAAAUGGAAGAACGUCAUUGCGACCUAAUGGUUAGACAAAAAUAUUUGAGAGACAAGGUCUCAACGAUGGAACGUUCGAUGCCAGCAUUAAUCGCGUAUAAUAUGUGGAUGUCCAAGGACAAAUGCAGCGAUGCACCAUCGUGCAAAGUUCGAGACAUUAUGAAGAAAUUUUCCAGGCAACCAGAUCCAACAGAGAAGCUUCUAAAAAGCUUGAAGGAGACAGUGAAGGAGUUGAACGGGCAAACAGCCGAGUUGCAUGAGAAGAUUAUUCAAGCAGAUGUUAAGUUAGAGGAAACUGAUAUAGAGUUAGAGUCUCUAGAACUAUUAAAUAAAGAGAUGAACGAAAAAUUAACUGGUUUAGAAAAGGAAAUGAAUAAUUAUGCCACUCCAAGUCUUCACUCCAUACAUUCCGAGGAUUUGAUAUGCUUAUCAAAAAUACACCAACUGGCUAAAGAGGAAUUAUGUUUGAAACAUUGUAUUAAGCAACUAGAGCAGAAGGAGACAUUGUUUAGAGAACAUAUGGAAAGAAUAUUAACAUCCAAAGAAUAUCAAAAUAUUUGUGAUAAACGAAAAAUAGUCAGCUGUCUUCAAAGUGUAGAUUGCACUGGAAGAAUGAUAUGCUAUGAGCCUAAAAAAUGCCUGUUGCGCAAGCCAGCUGUUUGUCGUUCAAAGAAGAAGUUGGUUCAUGAAGAUGUAGAGAUUGUUAAAGAAAGUGAAAAUACACAAACGCAAAAUGAUGUAAUAGUCUCUACUUCUGAACACAAUGUUAGCAAUGAAUUGGAGGAAAAAGUAAAAAUGAGGUCUUCAUGGAUACCCAACUGGUGGUCAGGUAAUAAAAAGAAUCAGGUGGAUGCUCCCAUUCCAAAAAGUGAUGAAGUAAUAACAAUUUCUGGUAGCAAAAAUAAUGUAAUUGACAAAACAAUCAUACCUGAAUCUUCGAUUAAAUUAAACAAUUUUGAGAAAAAACCAAAUGGAAAAAAGUUAGUUAGCAAUAAACUACCUCAGAAAUCAGGGCACACAACACCUUGUAAACCUUGUGGCCAAGAAGUUUGUCCUCUGCCAUCAGCUACAGAGAGUGGAAGCAAAAAUGGGAAAAAUAGACUUUGUGCAGGAAAAUUGCAUAAACCUUAUAAUACUUUUUGUAUAAAAGGGUUUAAAGGGUUUUCUAGUUCUAUGAUGUCAAGAAAACCCUUUUGCGAUAUUCCAUAUCGUUUAACAGAUCAUGGUAUUCAAAAAACAUGUAAAUUGUAUAUUCCAACAUGCAAUCUUAGUAGUCCUGGUGAAAUUUGUCCUUCAAUGUCCUACAAGAACUGUUUUCAACCAUUAAAUAACUGCAGAUGUAAUUAUAAAGGAAAGUGUGCUAGAGGAUUGUCAGGGGUAGAAUGCAAUUGUAGUGAUGCAUUGGACUUACUGGAAAGUUACCAACCCUUAGCUUCACAACUGCAUCCUGAAGAUCUGAAUGCUGAAGACAAUAAUACUGACGAUGAAUUCUGUGAAUGCUGUUCUUGUGGCUGUGAAGAUACUGAUGAAUUCUCUGCAUGUCAAUGUAAUUAAUCAUAAUUACACCAGGCUUGAGAAGAAUGGACAUAUUUGUCAGGUCAUAAUCUAUAUUUCAUCAUAUUCUUUUUUAAACAUAUAAUGAUUUUAGAACUCUAUAUGGAAAGGAAAGUACUUGUGUUUUCCAAGGCUGAAACAAAUUCAAAUAGAGAAUUGAAAAGAAAUUUCUGAAUUUUUUUCUAAUUACGAUAAAACGUAAUGAAACUUACUUGAAUCUAUCAAUGAAUCUAAAAUUGCGAUUUAAAUUAUUCAUUGUAUUCAUAUCCUGAGGGCUUAGUUCAAAGUCAAAAAUGUUAAAAUUCUCUUGCAUUCUCGAUUUCGUAACUGACUUGGGAAUCACUAUGUGUUCAAGUUGUAUCUGUUAAUAAAUUUUCAAGUUACAGUUUAUAUUGAGAAUAUAAUUUUCGAAGUUAUAGAUUCUGAAAUAUGUACCUGAUGUCGCAAUAUAAUCUGUGCAGGAGAUUUUUUAUAUUUAUCAGCAAGUUCUUUGAUUGUAGGGUCUUCCAAAACUCGUGGUUCAUCAGGGGAAACAUCUGGCCUAUCUGGUGCACCAAAAGAACUAUAAGCAGUGAUCGUGAUACCCCUGGUCUUACAGAAUUCAGUAAGUUUUAUCUGGUUUAAAUAAGGAUGGCAUUCCACUUGAUUUGUCACUGGUUUUGUUUCACUGUUUUUUAUGAGUCGUUCAAUCUGCUCAGAAUUAAAAUUACUAACACCGAUAUUCUUCACAAGGCCCUUCUUUACCAGAUGUUCCAUGGCAUGCCAUGUAUCUAAAUAAUCUGUAUCUUCAGUGAGUAUAUUACCAUCGGCAUCUUGUGGGAAAAUAUCAUCAAGAUCACCAGUAUCUAUAACAGAGAUUAGUAUAAUUUUUUUAUUGUAGAUAUAGGCGUUAGUACUUUUCUUAACGAAAUGAAAGUACCUUUGAAAGCCAUUGGUGAAUGCAUCAAAUAAAGAUCAAGUGUUUCAAGACCAAGAUCAUUCAAGGUCUUUCUCAAGGCAGGUUCAACUUGUUCAGGUCGGUGUUUUGUAUUCCAUAAUUUACUAGUUACGAAAAUAUCCUCGCGUUUGAUAACACCUUCCUUAAUUUUCGCCGCGAUUCCCUUCCCUACAUUUUUUUCGUUCCGAUAUAUCGCAGCACAGUCAAAAUGACGGUAUCCAAUAUCAAUAGCAUCUUUUACAGCUUGGGUUACUUGAUCAGGUGUAGACUAUUUCAUAGAGUAAAUUAAUAUAAAUAUUAAUUAAUAGCGACAAAAGUUUCUAAGGAUAUUCGAAUUUUACAAAAUGAAAUGUAUAAAAUUAUACAAUUUUAAAUAUGCUUUUGUUAUAAAAAAAAUUUCACUGAGUUUACAUUUAUUAUGUAAAAAUUUAAUAGUACAACUUAGUUAUUCAAAGUUAGGUUAUCCUACAUAUUAAAUUAAGGAGCGCUUAAUACCUUUAAAAAAUUUUACUAUAAUAUAAUGAAACCAACCUUCCAAGUGCCCAAACCCAAUAUAGGAUAUUUAAAACCAUUGUAAAAGGCUAUAACUUGUUGCGCCAUGUUGAAGUACACUCCUCAAAGAACUGAAGACAGGUCAUUUGUCCACUACAAUUUAUACUGUUUUCCUAACUGAUAAUAGUUUUGAAUAAUGAUUACGUAAUCACUGUAAAAGAUAGCAACUGUUUACAUUACAAACUUUUUAUGUUCAGUCUUUGUUUCUUAUCUUGUAUUUCAGAUAUCUUAUAUUACUUAUAUAACUUUGUAUUUCUUUAUGAAGGACUUUAGUAAAAUGAAAAAAAAAUACACACGUGUAUAUAUUUCAACAAAAUUUAUUUUAUAUGAACAUUCACGUAAAAAAUUAGCAGACAGGCAUACAUUUCAAAUUUUGCAAUAAUACCAAUUUGUGUAACUGGAUGUUUCUUUCAACUAAAUUUUUUUCUUAGAAAGGAAUAUUGAAGGGGUAAUGGGGGCUUGACUCCGUGCUGAAACAGGAAUAAAUUUUAUCGUGAAAACGUUAGUUCAAAUAGUAACGAGUAAGAAGUAAAACUUAUGAGGAGUAAACUAUAUUUACCCAAACAUUGGGCAGAUUCUGCCAUUACAAUCAAAGGUAUCAAUAUAUGCAAUAUCUUCUGGGCUGAGUUUGAAGUCGAAGACCUCGCUAUUCUGUGCAAUUCGCGAUUUCGUAACUGACUUGGGAAUCACAAUGUGCCCACGGUCCAACUACAAUAGAUUUUCGUAAAUAUUAUAAAUUCUAACAAUUUAGUAUAUACAUAUUUAUGUACGCAUAUUCUUAUUCAAAAAAUGUAUGUGUCGUGUGUACCUGGUAUCUGAUUAAAACUUGUGCAGGUGUUUUAUUAUACUUCUUUGCCAGUUCACCCAACUUUUUGUCCUCCAACAGUUUCGGAUCAUCAGGUUUAGCCCAUGGCCUAUCAGGAGAUCCAAGUGGACUGUAUGCUGUAAUAAGAAUACCUUUUUCCUUGCAGAAUUCAGAAAGCUUUUUCUGAAUUAAAUAUGGAUGACAUUCAAUCUGUAAAGAGAUGCACAUUAUAGAAGUAUAUUCAUUAAAAACAAUUGUGAAUUUUAAGGAAAAUUAAUACUUACUUGAUUUGUAACUGGUUUGACGGUAGUAUUUUUCAAUAGCCUCUCUAUUUGUUCAGAGUUGAAAUUACUAACACCAAUAUUUUUUGUGAGUCCCUUAGUUACUAAACUUUCCAUGGCCUUCCAUGUGUCUAAAUAGUCAUCAUUUGUUAAGGCAAUACUGUCAUCAGCAUUCUUUGGGAAAAGAUCAUCGCCCUCUUUAUAUGCCAUUGGCCAAUGAAUCAGGUAUAGAUCUAAAUAUUCCAAACCCAGAUUGGACAAAGUCUUUUUGAUGGCUGGUUCAACCAAGUUUGGUUUGUGGAAGGUAUUCCAUAAUUUGCUCGUGAUAAAAAGGUCCUGCCUUUUCACGACACCUUCAGCGAUUUUAGCUUGAAGGGCAGCACCAACUUCUUUUUCAUUUCCGUACACAUGGGCGCAAUCAAUAUGACGAUAUCCCAAAUCAAUGGCAUCUUUAACUGCUUGAGUGACUUCGCCGGGUUUGGACUAUAAUAAAACAUGAAUAUUAAUAAUAAUUUCUUUGAUAUAUAUCAUUUUUAUUCAUUUUAUAUUGCUUAUCAUUAAGUCGUGUAAUAUGGAAUGUCGAAUUUUGCGGAAAAAAAGAAAUCUUAUUUGAUAUUUUAAAAGACGUUUAUUCAAUCAAAAUAUGCUCUGUUCGAUUCGAUACACUUCUGGCAACGUAUUUUCGAUGAAUAUAUACCUUUUUUGAAAAAUUCUGAAUGUUUAGAAUUAAUAAAUUUUAAAAACAUCGUUAUAAACUAUUGUUUCAGGUCUACCACGUGGCUUAUUUUGCAAAGAAAUAUCACCGAAAAAAAUUUCGCAGAUCAACGCUGAACUCUUCUUUCAUUCGCAGCAUUGUCCCCAACGUUUGAAUUUACACAAGAAAACUUAUAUGAAUUUUGGCGGUAUCCAUAUUUUACUCUGAUAAUCAGUAACAAAAUUUUAAUCAUUUUAGUGCCAAGCGGCGAGAUCACGCUUCUCAGAUAUACUUCCUGAAAGUGCCAUCCUACCGGUUAGUAGAAUCAAAUGAAGUUUAUAUAUUCGUUUUCCUUCUAAUUAUUUGUUUUUAAUUUUGUUAUCGCCUGCUUAGAAAUGGAAAAAUGAAACGAGAGAAGCGUGAUCGCGGUUAUAUGAAAAACAAGGGAAUAACAACAACAGGAGUACUCACAAACAUUCACGACAACGGGUAAAUUCGCUGUACGAAGAAAGGAGCCCUAUGGAAAAUUACGGAGUCCGUUAAACGGGCAAAGGACAGAAUCCCUUGAUCGUCAACAAUGAAUGGACUACUAUACCAAGCAUAACAAUGCCAUUCCCAUCGUGACAAACGGAUCGCUACCGGUAGUAGUCUCAACGAAGGGUCAUGAUUCUCGAAAUUCCCUUCUUCGUCCUUUAAAAUGAAUAUUUAAUUUAUUUUGAUCAAAUAAACUGGUACAAGCCUAAUUUCACGGAACUUUAAGAUAACAAAAGCGAGAAAAGAAAAUGAAACUAAUACAUAAAAUGAUGGUAAUAAAAGAUGAUUUUCAAAUUGUUGACACGCCUUCAAAAAUGUCAUAGAAUCCUAUAGCGUUUGAUUAGGACCGUGGCAGCGAAGACGUUGCAAUAAUUAUUAUAAUAAAGUUCGCGGAUUUGCGUGUCUUUCGAGAAUUAUCUAAUCACGACAAAAAAUAUAACAUCCCACUCGACAUUCUUCCAUUUCAACAUACAAAGUCAGAUAAACUGUCCUGAUACAGCAUUGUUGCAGCGUAACAGGAUUAAGUAAUCGAGUCAUAGAGAGACAACGAGAAGGAUUUUUUAUCGAUUAGCAUUGUCAAGGGUAGUUUUUAAAUGAGGUUUAAUUGACAGAGUUAAAUGCGUUUAAUUAAUUGGAAAGGUAUAAAAUAUCCGGAUGUAAGAAUAUACAUUUAAUACUGGAACUACUGAGUCGUCGGAGGAAAUUAUUUAUGUAGUGAAUCAUAAUUCCAAAUGGAAAUUACAGAAGUGCAUUUAAGCGUUAAAUUAAACGAUUCUAUAAGAGUUACUGUUACGCCACGUUACGUUAGAAUAUAAGAAACUUUGAGACAUGUAAGAUUUUUAUCAAUUAUAGAAGUACUUUUCUUUCGGAUAAGAUCGCCGAUAAUUACGUAAUGUCGCGAUAGGAAUGAACAGAGCGGCGUACAAUAUCGUGUGCAAAUACGAUUUCCUAAUUUUUAAAUUAAAACGAAAGGGAGCACUCGAGAAAUUCUGAGAAUGUCUAUUUCAAUGGAGCAAAAGUUUACGAAAUCAAGGAGCCUAAGAUGAGAAUCCUAUUACAAUGGUCUCCUAUAAAAAGCUGUUCCAGGGUUUCAUUCAAAGUAAAAUCUUUUAUGGAAUCGUUUCAGUUCUUAAUCAUUUUUUCUUGGUAAUGACUGUUAAUAAUGUUUCUAGGUACCGUGAUAGGCUUUUUUUUAUAGGACGGCCAGUCGUUCGACGCGCUGUCCUCGAAGCAGAAGUGGUGAGACACGCUCACUUUCCAGAAAAUUCAAAACUUGACGAUAUUUAAAUCUUCCAAGAAAAUUCUAUUUCUUUCUCCUAAAUUUCUUAAAGAAAAUCUAUGCUCCCUGCAUUGUUUAUUGCUAUUGUUCUCUUUGUUCAAGGUGUCUAUUAUUGGUUCCAAGAUGUAGUGACCAAGGAAGUGGCAAAGGAAGAGGUCCUCUUGAUGGUUCGGUUAGAGAAAGCGUCAGUAAAACAGAAAAUAGGUUUAUUUCUCGCAGAGUAUCGCUGUACAUCAAGCAACUCGUAUCCUUAUUAGAUUUUACUAACAUUUCUAUUUUAUAUUUUAAAUAUCCCAGAUCUUUUGCACUGCAAUUAAUCCCAGCAGUAGCCAAUACUUGCUGUAUACUUUUUACUACCAGGAGGAUUCUAGAUCUUUAGUUUCAAACGCGGCCGUUGUCCCACUGACACUUUGACAUACUUUCCAAAAUAUUUUUAUUUAUUUUCCGCCGGUGGAAUCGCGUUCAAAGAGAAAAAAAUAUUCUCGAUUAGCAUGGAGCGAUAACGCUUUAUUUAAUGAGAACUGCUACUCUAUCAAGGAUUCGAUUUGAAUUGGAUCUAGAUCCGCGCGUAGGGUGAUAUUAAUUUAAACAGUUCAAUUUUCGUUAGAUCUAUUUGUUCACGAUUAUGUUGGACACUUUUUACAAUCUACUUUCCUCUUAAUACUAGCUAUUCCAACCAAGGUAAUCUUUUCCAUAAUUACCUCCAUACACGUUACAGCCAUUCACUCACAAAUAUAAUACAAUAUAUUUAUUUUCAAGAGUAUCAAAAGCGGGGUGCAGUUUCAACGGUGUUCGUCCAAGUUUUCCAAUACUCUCCGGCAUUUGAGCAAAUGAAACUAUUGAAACGCCCUACGGUGGCUCGGUAUCAUAUGAAAGAGUGAAUCAAGCAGCAUAAAGAGAGCUUCAUUCGCCUCGGCUACUCCCGACCGCACAGUAAAACAAACAAAAACGAUCGAUACGUAACUAGUACCUAGAAUAGAGUAACAGUAGAACAGAUCUAUAUCGAGAAAUUACUUUCCCAGCCGGAGUCUAGACGAACGGCCGAGAACUCGCUUUUCUUCGACUCGUAAAGCGAUUUGCGGAACGUGGAGUUGUUCUGCGGAUCAUCGAACACGAUAUCGGACACGUUCGAGCAUUCCGGGGAGUCCCAAAGCUUGCUGGAGAAACUGUCGUCCGUGUCGUUGAACCAAUCGAACUCGUCGGUGUCCUCCGAGUAGCGGAGAAGCAGUGGGUGCACCGAGAUCUUCCUCUUGACUGCCGAUUCGGUCACACCUUCCUCCGGAAGCUCGCUCUUCUCAUGCUCCAGGAACAGCCUCGGUGUCCCGUUCGUCGAGUGUUUGUCCAGGAACCGAUUGACCAAGCCGUUCGUCGGAUUAGACUCGUCUCUAGGCUUCGCAAGCGUGUUCUUCUUCUGCGUUUCCGACGUGUCGCGCGGGGAGAACCCUAUCAAGACUUCUUCCUUCGCGAUCACGCUGAACGUGACGAUAUCCGGAAUACUGGACACUGGAGUCGUCAACCUCGAACCUGCGAACAGUUUCGACCCCCACCUCGAGGCUUUGCUCUUUAUCGCGUCCUUGCAUUCCAUCACCUCUGCGAGCAUCUUAGACUUCCAUGAUCCGCAAAGGGUCGUCGUUGGAGAUUGAUUGCAAGAUCGACCGGGGAUGAGUCUCUCGCAAGUCGGCGUACGGGGAUCCGGUUUCGGGUCGAAUCUGGAAUUGGUCGGCAACGUUCGUCCUCUGUGUGACAGGAUUCAAAAGCAGCUUCUCGAUCAUCGCGAACAUAGCAACGAGUCGGAAUUGAAUUGUUUGAAUCAUGUUUACACUGCUAGGAGAUCGCUCGAUGGCUGAGGAAUUCGGCAGAUCGGUUCACAGUUUUUUUUCUCGGCUAACUUUCCGUUGGUUUUAUUUCCUAAUUCUUAAUAUUAUCCUUAAUUGAUUUACUACUCGUUAAUACGGUCACGUGAAACCAAUCGAAACUAUAAAACUGUGAAUGAAACACCUCCUGCCCCUGCGCCGUUCCGCUAGAUAUCAAGUUAUCUCCUAAGUGUACUCAGCGACCGAAUCUAUUUGCAUUGCCGUCUGGUAAUUUCACGGUACUCACGUCCGAGCUAUGUGAUUCAUGGCACGAUCGAUACCUCCGCUGCGAAAUUUAUUGCGAAUAUCUGGAACACGAUAACGAGCACUUCCAACCACCGCUUUUGCCGUACUGUGCGCGCUCGUAAAGGUCGUUGUUGAAUUAUUUACUAAACACCGCAGGUUACCCAGGAAAUUCGCGGUCAUGACUUAUACGCGGUCACACGACAGACGGAAUGCCUAGAAUCAUUUCAGUAAAAUUCCCCUGUCGCCCUUAAUCGCCCACUAACCGUUUAAUCCCGAAUUUUGUGUUAACGAACUUGAACGAUUAGCGGUUGCGGUUCUCAUUCACGGUGGCGUGCAUUCUCGCGUUCACGGUGAUAAAUAUUGCGCCUCAUGACGCUGGGGAGGACGAGCACGAUGGAAAGUACCGGCAACGGGCCGGUACAGCGAAAAAUUCCAUCCCGCACGCGGGGAGCGGAUAUAGGAGGAGGUAAUUUCGCUCGUUGAGCAAAUCACUUGAAAAAGGAUCCUCGCCCACAUCUUUCCAAUCCGUUGAACUUGAAGUAGACUAACCUUGAACUCGCUAUGGCAAUAAAUCAUGCUCCCUGUGCGUAAAAUUACUUCUAACAGGUUGGAGACGCUACUAAUUUAUAGAAGCGGUAAUUCGCAUAAAAAUCCAUAGUCUAAUUAUCGCGUUUCUAUUAAUCUGUUGAAAGUAUACUUUCCUACAAAAGGCAGGGAAGAUCGAAUGACAAAACUGUACAGUUAAAGGGUUGACACACGAGGUGCGGUUAGAUGUGGCUGCAGCGUGCCAGUGACCUUCGGUUCUGCUUCACUUCGUUAAUUGUGUUUCCACUGCCGCAUUUCAACCAAUCUUGGAACAUGAUGUUACGAUCGGUUCUCGGAACGUGUCAAUGCUAAAAAUGAACUCGAAGAAAGUUACAGCUAAUGGAAGAGUUCCUGUAUCGCGUACAAUGCAAUGGAUAAUUUGGAAAAUUUGACGGUAACUUUGACAAAUUAUUUUUAACGUUAUAUAAAUAUUCGCGGUCCGGCUAGAAACGAAAUCAUACCGUGAAAUGUGAAACGCUAUGCAUUCUAUUAUUUCAUUAACAGAGUCUGUUGUCUAUCGAUGCGAUGUCAAACAAAUAUUUUAUUUACAUAUUUCGUCUUGUUACAUGGUGGCCCGGUUCUGUGCCGUUUGCGGCCGGUGUAUCAUUCGAAACGAGCCAUCGAAAUUUUCCAUGGCGGUCAAUAAACCUAAUUGACUGGAUGAGGGUCAAACGGGUGCCGAAUUACAGCGUGAGAUUAUGUAAGUUCAAAGAGGGUAUGCCUCACUAUUAAUUCCGUGCUGAAUCUGACAGGCUGUUUCCUGCUGGCGCAACACGUCGUCGUCGGGGAACGUUUACUUUCAAAAUGGAUAGUACUUGUGACCUAUAGCGCUGGAAAACAGAUUGGAAAUUCAAUGUUAAUCGAUGCGCGUGAGAGUGAAUAAGAAUUAAUUCGUAUAUUUGUGAUAUUUACUCGUGGAAACUUGAAAUACGGGCUCCACUCGCGAUAGUCGCAAUGGCCGCCAUUUCUUCAGCAGUGAGGGAAAAAUCGAAUAUGUCUAUGUUCUCCUUCAGACGACUAGGUGUUACCGUUUUCGGGAUGAUCGCUACACCUUGUUGCGCCUAGAAAAUGUCCCACGGAAAGUCAAAAUCAGAUUUCGCAUUGCAAGAUUAGAGUCAUCAGAAAACGCUUCUUUGUCUAUAGCCGAUAUUGUUAAAAACAAAGUCCACGAUUCACGUAUCGAUAACGUGCUUCUAAUUCUCUGGGUUAAUCGUUUCAAUGCCUUGAUUGAGUAAUUUCGAACGGCCGUUAUCUUUCACAUGAUACUGCUAAUAGUUAUUAUUCACAUUCGCUAAGAUAUGUCAUUAAAUUAUCUGUCAGGUGUAUCAGCAGAAUAUAUGGUAAAAAAGGCUCGAUAAAGGAACGCUCUGUGUAAUUACUCACCACGUAACGCAGAGCUAUUUGUGCCGGGGUUUUCUUGUAUUUCUGCGAGAGCUCGACGAUUUUCGGAUGGUCCAGGUUGUUUGAUAUACCGUGCUUGUUUCCCGGUUGACUCAACGGCGAAAACGCGGUCACCGUGAUCUUGUGUUUCGCGCAGAACUCGAUUAACGGCUUUUGAUUCAAGUUCACGUUGACUUCGAUCUGCACAUUAAUAAAAUUCAUUUAGUUAGGAACCGGUUGACGCAUCUCUUUGAACAGAGCGAUUAAUGAUUACCUGAUUAUUCACAGGCAUAGUCUUAGACGCCUCGAGCAAACGAGUCAGCUGUUCGAUGCUGAAGUUACUGACACCUAUACUCUUUGUGAGUCCUAACUUCAGGCAUUCUUCCAUUCCUCUCCAUGUCUCCAAGUAAUCGGUGUCUGUCAGUAAGAGAGCACCAUUGGCAUCCCGAGGCGUUAAAUCACCGCCUUCCUAACGGGUGGUCAAUUAUUAUUUGCAUAUCAUUUGUGAAAGUAAUCUGAAUAACUUACCGCGAACGCGAACGGCCAGUGAACCAAGUAUAAGUCGACGUAACUCAGUCCAAGGUUCUCCAAGGACUUCUUACAUGCUGGUACCACGCUUUCUUCUUUAUGGAAAUUGUUCCAGAGCUGAAGAAGUUAUACAUAAAUUUACUCGUGGAAUGAUUUCAUGAUUAAUUCAUUAUCGUACAUUUUGAUAUUAUAUUUUGUAUUAUAAUAAUAUUACCUUGGUUGUGAUGAACAGAUCUUCUCUCUUCACGGUACCGUCCUUGAUUUUUGCUUGAAUUGCUCUGCCAAUUUCAAUUUCAUUUUGGUAAAAAAACGCCGUGUCAAUGUGACGGUAACCAACAGUUAUCGCCUCCAUCACGGCCCUUUCCACUUCCCCUGCACGGGACUAAUGGAUAAUAAUUCAUUGCGUUAUAAAUUUUCAAGUUUAAUUAAUAUUUUUAGGGUAUUACGCAUUCUCAGUUCAGGAACAUUCGAAUUGCGUGCGCUAUGUACCACGUGUUACAGGUUUAGAAAAUUUUCAUAAUGGAGGGGACUUCAGAAUGAUUCCUCUCAGGAGAAUAGUCAAUAUUUUCUUCGACUUCUUUGAUAAGCAAUAUUUAAUUAAUAUUGCGUUAUACGGUGAAUGAAUUGUAUAUUAAUAUUUACCUGAUAUGUGCCCAGGCCAACAAUUGGCAUUUUCUGUCCAUUGAGAAACGUGAGGUGAUUGGGUAUUUGUGUCAUUAUGAAAGAAUAGAUUAAGCCAGAAGAGCGUUUAGACGUUUAGAAAAGAACUAACCUAUUUUCUAUUCACAGACUAUUUUAUACUUCUGUUCUACUUUAAGAUGUAGGCUCUUCUCGUGAACAAUGCGGAAUAGUUUGGUAUGUAAGCGACUACGCAAGGCAAGCGCGUUACCUCCGUUUUUACCACUCAUCGUAGAUAAACAUUACAUAACAGAUGGAAAGAUACGUAUAAUAUUUAACGGUCAAGAUUAGAAAUUCUACUAACGUUAAUAAUACAUCGACAUCGUACAACCAUCCAAUACAGUUAUCUAAGUGAAUAAUCAUGUUCGCAAAAACAAAUGCGAAAGCAAGGUGCAAUUGACACUAUCUUGCAAAUAUUAAUAAAUUAAAAUGGGAAACGGAGGAAACUGAAAUGAACUUGAUGAUGUCUCAGGACAAUCUCAUUUGUAUAAAAUAAAAAUAUUUAUGGACCAAUAUAAUGGUUACAAGCAUAAAAAUAUGAUAAUGCAAACAAAUAUCACAUGGUUGAUGAAAUUUCCAAAUGAAAAUACUUUUGAAUUCAGUUAUCAGCUGAACUUCUUAGAACUCUAUAUUGAAUGGAUAAUCUUUGUGGUCCUUGAAUCUAAACAAAAAAAAAAUUUAUAUUCAAACUUGAGGAAUGACAGAACCUUAAUUAAAUAAUAAAACUUACUGUAUGCAAGGGCAUAUUCGAGUUCCAUUAUCAAGCGUAUCUAGCAAUGCAACUUCCUCUGGUGUCAAUUUAAAGUCAAAGAUAUCAAUAUUUUGCUUAAUACGAUCUUUUGAUUUGGAUUUUGGUAUAGGAAUUGUAUCAAUAUCAACCUGCAAUAAGAAACAUGUUCAAUGAAUCUCAUGUCACUCAGAAUGAAUUAUCAAAUAUUGCAAUCGAAUUUACCAAAUAUCUCAAAAUGAUUUGGGCGGGUGAUUUCCCAUACUUCUUGCCGAGUUUAAGUAAUUCCGGCGCGUCUAUCGUGACUUGAGGAUCACCGGGUUUUACCCAGCUUCGCUUUGGUGAGCCAAACGGGCUAUAAGCGGUAACAGCUAUACCACGUUCAGCGCAGAACUUUCGUAAUUUUUUCUGGUUCAAAUUUGGAUGACAUUCAAUUUGGUUCAUAACCGGUUUAAUUUCGGCCACCGAUAAAACGCGUUCGAUUUGCUGAGAAUUGAAAUUGCUGAGACCGAUACUUUUCGUUAGCCCUAAUUUCACGCAUUCUUCCAUACCACGCCAAGUGUCUAAAUAAUCUUCAUCUCCACACAUGGGAUUUCCAUGUUCAUCUAUUGGCCAUAUAUCUUUUCCGAAUCCCUAAAAUGUAUAGACAUAGGUAUAAAUGUAGGUACAUAGUGAUCAUGGUCUUUUAAAGUCACUUUGGAAUGUUUCUUAAAUCUUACAGAAAAUGCCAUAGGCCAGUGAACUAGGUAGAGGUCCACAUAAUCAAGACCAAAAUUUUUCAAAGACUGUUUGCAGGCUGGUACAACUUCCUCCUUUUUGUGAAAUGUAUUCCAUAACUGCAAAUAAAAUAAUCUAACUGUUUAAAUGUUUAGUAAGAACUGUUACCUAAAACAAUUAUUUAUAGAUAGUAGAUUUUACAUACUUAUAGCAUGCUAUGUAUAUUUUGCACAAUGAAAUAAAAUGAUUCGGUUGAGCGUUAUCCAAAAGAUCGUUCAAAUUACUUUCGGCAUGAUAUAAUUCUUGAUAAGAGAAACAAGUUUUAAAAUAACUUGUGUACAGAUAACUAAGCACUAUGACUUACGAGUAAUGAUAAAAUUUUAUCGAAAUGGUCUGUCAACGCUUAUUCUCCAUACACCUAAUUAUAUACCUUUGUUGUGAUAAACAGGUCUUCUCUCUUCACGACUCCUUCUUCAAUUUUCUCGCGAAGAGCUUUUCCAAUUUCCUUCUCGUUUCCAUAAAUGAAAGCACAGUCGAAAUGCCGGUAUCCGGCAUCCACUGCAUCACGUAUGGCUUGCUGAACAACUUUAGGUUCGUCCUUCAAAUGGAAGUAUGAUUAUUAAGAAUAAAGAUAUUUCUGUAACAUUAUUAUGUAACUACUUACUGCUCCUUGCCAGGUGCCAAGCCCUAAUACGGGCAUUUUUUGUCCGUUGUUUAAAGUAACCGUUGGUGCAGCCAUCGUUAUAAUUUAUACGAUAAUCAGUAUUCGCUUAGAUGUUUCUGAAACACGUAUGCGUACGAUUCUGUCGUUACGUGAAUAUAUAAACCUCACGAGCGAAUGUCCCCCCACUUGUUGCGCCAGUUUCAUUACUUUCAACCGUUAUUACGUCGUUAUUAAAAAAUGUUAUAUGAAUGAGCAGUGAGAAGUAUUGAUCAACAAUUUAUAUCAGAUUAUAGCAGUAUCUAGUUGUUAUCAUUAACAUCAUAGUAUUAGUAAUUUAAUCUAUUAGAGUCCGUGAUAUUACUGUGUAGUUAAUUUAUACGUGUUGCCCAAUAUAUAUGGAAAUGUUAAACAGUAACUUUUAAAUAUACAAAAUAUAUUGAUAUUUACAAUUGUAUAAAUGUUACAAAUAAUGCGAUUACAAUUUUGUACAAUUUAGGAUUUAAUGAUCAGAUAGAUAAAUACAAUUUUAUCGAUUACAAA